rnacentral:rRNA from 1 species
GACGAACGCUGGCGGCGUGCUUAACACAUGCAAGUCGAACGGAAAGGCCCUGCUUUUGUGGGGUGCUCGAGUGGCGAACGGGUGAGUAACACGUGAGUAGCCUGCCCUUGACUUUGGGAUAACUUCAGGAAACUGGGGCUAAUACCGGAUAGGAGCUCCUGCUGCAUGGUGGGGGUUGGAAAGUUUCGGCGGUUGGGGAUGGACUCGCGGCUUAUCAGCUUGUUGGUGGGGCAGUGGCUUACCAAGGCUUUGACGGGUAGCCGGCCUGAGAGGGUGACCGGCCACAUUGGGACUGAGAUACGGCCCAGACUCCUACGGGAGGCAGCAGUGGGGAAUAUUGCACAAUGGGCGGAAGCCUGAUGCAGCAACGCCGCGUGCGGGAUGACGGCCUUCGGGUUGUAAACCGCUUUCGCCUGUGACGAAGCGUGAGUGACGGUAAUGGGUAAAGAAGCACCGGCUAACUACGUG